AGGCUAGCUACUCACUCUAGGGUUAGAUAAAAGGGAAGAAAGAAAGAAGAGAGCCAUUUUGGCCCUUGGUAUCCGUCGGCUAGAGGGAGAAGAGAGAGAGAGUGUGUGUGAGAUAGAGAGAGAAAGAAAGAAGGAAAGAAGAGAAAGGAAGAGGAGGAGGAGGAGAAGAGAAAAGGAUUUCGAAUCCUAGGAGGGUGAUUACCAUCUUUCCAUAUUUCAAGACUUGGUCAUCACGAGGAGACAUUGGGGGCCUCUAACGUGUCCCCUGAGAAGACGUGCAAACAUCUAACGUCUCCCCUGGGAAGAUGUGCCACAUCGGACGUCUUCCCAAAGAUCUCUCCUAUAUAUAAUCCUCUUAUACCUUCUUCUUCCCCGAGCCACAUGAACCAGAGGUGAAGGAUAGCGAUUUUGGGCAUUUCUGUUUUGGGUGAUCUUGGCUCGAUUUCAAGCAGAUUUGAGGUAAAGGCAAGGGCAAGAUCGGUCAACCUUGAUUGGAGAGCUCUGCAGGGUGAAUGUACAUAUCAGGCCGCUCAACCGCCACGGUUGAGGAGGUUACAGGGACGAGAGGACCAGAACCUUGUAUUUUUCCUUAGUAUGGCUGAUGUUUACUCUUAACUGUUGAAUUUUGUAAACCAGCUUUUAAAGACUGUUGAUUUUGGGGAUCCCUUCUGUAAACUGUUUACAACUUAUAAAAUGUAUCUUUUGAGGCCAAAAUGUCUUUUAGCCCUAGAACUCUUUAGUUAAUGACACGUUUUGAUUAAAUGACUUGAUUAGCAAGCCUCACAUCUUUAUAAAUACACAGUGUAGCGGUCCUGGCUAUGCAGGGCGUUACAUAAGUUGAUCAUUUAUAUUAUGUUUAUUUAUUUAUUUAGUAAUUUUUUAUUUAUUAAUUAAUUU